AUGGAAAUUGUAUUACUUGCUUUUCCAAACUGCGUUUUCAGCUCCCAGACACUGAGGACUGAGUUGCUACUCCACACAAAACGAAAAGGCGAAUCCAUUGACAGACCACUCAGAACUGAACUGUUGCUUUCCAUGCUGGAUCCAAUGCCCCACUCUGAUGAACCUCACAUCUUUCAAGACUUCAGCACUGAGAGAACAGAGAAGAGUGGCCAAAGGGAGGGACUGCUUACAGUAAAUGCUGCUGUGAACAGAAAUUUGCAUUACACAAUAGCCAACACAGCCCUGGCUCUAGCUUCCUGAACAAUGAACUAUCACUUCUCAGUCAAAGUAUUCUGGAUGAGACCUCUCCAAAUGAAUUUGGCAUAAAAUUCCUUAGGCCCCUUUAGGAAUUAGUAUCUCCAAAGUUUCAAUUCUGUGUCUUUCAAAUACAUUGGAGACAUGUAACAACAGAAAAAAAGUACUUUUCAGGCCUUGUAGAGACAUUUUAAAGCCAUUGCCUCUAGAAUGAUGGAUUCCUACACAAAAAUAUGCCCAUACAUGCAUUUCCUCAAUGCCCUUGCUAUUCUUGAACUUUUCUUGUUCUUUGAUCAGUAUUUCCAGGGAUCUUGGGUAUCCUUCCAAAGCCUUCUUUCCUUCUCACAAAACCUCUGGAUGCUAUUACAUACAGUUAAAGGUUCCACCAAGAAAAAUGCAAUUUCAUUAUGCUAUGAAAGUGUUCAUUUUGCUUUUACAUCUUUGUUUUCUUUCCUUUGGAGGUUCCAGGCUCUUCACUAGCAAGAAGAAAAUGGUUCCCCAUGACUGUUUAUAUCACCAGCUCUUCUAGAGUAUAGUGUGCCUUUUUACCCUUUGACAUUGGAUGUAUAUGACACAAUGGCAGAUACAGCAUACAUUGAAGCAUUUAAUGAUGCACAGUUUUAUAAAACUAAUUAGUGUUAUACAAAUAAGUGCCUAAAAUGUGCACACACAUUCAAUUAAUGUAUUACAAUAAUAUAUAGGCCUAUUAAUAUACUGAAUUUUGAAACAGGUACAUAAACAUAGAUUAAAUAAGUUUCAUCAGUAUUGAACUAAAUCAUGUCUGCUACAAAUGGAGAAAAUAAAUACUGUCAAUGGCAUUUUCUUCUUAGCCCU
rnacentral:lncRNA from 1 species